rnacentral:lncRNA from 1 species
GAUAACCUGAAAGGUGAUUCAAGUAAGGCAAGGAAGGUUCUUGGGUGGAAACCCAAAGUUGGGUUUGAGCAAUUGGUGAAGAUGAUGGUUGAUGAAGAUAUCGAGUUGGCUAAGAGGGAGAAAGUACUGGUCGAUGCUGGUUAUAUGGAUGCCCAACAACAGCCUUAAUUUACUGUGCCAUCCAAAAUUUUCUUCUUUGAUGAUAUAGUUGGUGUUUAAGAAGAGGGUAUUUAUUUAAAUGUUUAAUUUAAUUUAAGUUUUAUGUAUCCAUUUAUUUCCUAGAAGUUCCUUCAUAAUGAUGUUACUCUGAAAUAUUUUCAUUUUGAUCAAGGAUAGCC